AACGAACGCUGGCGGCAUGCCUAACACAUGCAAGUCGAACGAGACCUUCGGGUCUAGUGGCGCACGGGUGCGUAACGCGUGGGAACCUGCCCUUAGGUUCGGAAUAACUCCCCGAAAGGGGUGCUAAUACCGGAUAAUGUCUUCGGACCAAAGAUUUAUCGCCUUUGGAUGGGCCCGCGUUGGAUUAUCUAGUUGGUAGGGUAAAAGCCUACCAAGGCGACGAUCCAUAGCUGGUCUGAGAGGAUGAUCAGCCACACUGGGACUGAGACACGGCCCAGACUCCUACGGGAGGCAGCAGUGGGGAAUAUUGGACAAUGGGCGAAAGCCUGAUCCAGCAAUGCCGCGUGAGUGAUGAAGGCCUUAGGGUUGUAAAGCUCUUUUACCCGGGAUGAUAAUGACAGUACCGGGAGAAUAAGCGCCGGCUAACUCCGUG
rnacentral:rRNA from 1 species